rnacentral:rRNA from 1 species
AGGUUUUAAACCUAAUGGCUCUUUCAUGAUUAUAUGAUAGGUGGUGCAUGGCCGUUCUUAGUUCGUGGAGUGAUCUGUCUGCUUAAUUGCGUUUCAAAUUUUUAUUUGAGGACCAGGUUUUGGUUUGGGUAGUGGUCCUACGAUGACUGUGAACUGUCAUGUCUUCGGAUGUGCGACUAUCGGUCUAGGAUCGCAUCUCAGCCCCUGGGACUCUUUUGAACGCAACGGACGUGAUUGCAACCCCUUGUUGAGAUUAGAGGAGUCUCGAUAUUCAUUGGCCAAACUUACCGCUUCGAGCUUGCUCGUGCAGUUUUGUUAGCCGGUGGAUAAACUCGGGGGACUGCUGACUAUAACCAUUUCUCAAAACAGAGGAAGGUUGCGGCAAUAACAGGUCUGUGAUGCCCUUAGAUGUCCCGGGCUGCA